UCUUUCUAGGAUAAUAUCUUUGGAGACAAGCACUGUCUUCAUAAAUACCAUUUGUUUUGCACCCAGAAUUGACCAGUUCUACAAAAUUUCAGCUGCAAAAGGCAAGUGAUGGAUAUUUUUUAAAGGCUCCAAAUAAGGAUUUCCAUGUUAAAACAUGAAAGCCUCAGUGCUGUGGCAAAUCCUGAAGAAGAAGCAGCCUCAUGAGUCAUCUAUGUUUUCACAGACCACAUCAACUACAUAAAUAGAAAGGAUGUGUCCUACUUUGCUUUUUUGUUAUUGUGAUAAACACCAUAAUCAAAAGCAAGUUUGGGACAAG
rnacentral:lncRNA from 1 species